UGUUUGCUUGUAUGUUGUCUACUGCAUUAGAUUAUAAGCUCCUUGAGGGCAAGGAUUGUCUCUUGCUUCUUUUGUAUCCCCAACACUUAGCACAGUGCCUGGCACAUAGAUGGUGUUUACUAAAGUUUACUAAAACUAGAGUUUACUAAAUAGAUGGUGUUUCAAGUCGUGGCAUAUGAUUGUGAUGGAAUACUACUAUGAUGUAAGAAAAAAUGAAUGGGUUAAUUUUUUAUGGAAAGACCUCCAUAAAAUGAUGAAGAGGAACAUGAACAGAACCCAGAGAACAUUAUCUAAGGCAACAGAAAUAUUGAUUGAAAAAUAAUGUAUAUAUGUUCACUUCCAGAGAACUGAUAACUAAAAACAACUCCUCUAGGAUGCACAAGGUACCAUCAUCUAGAGCUCAGUUUCCAGAUUGGGGAGAGAACUGUGAUGCAGAAUAUCCAUUCGUGGGCUUUGCUUUGUCCUUUGAGGCUUUCAUACUGAUGUGAAUGCUGCAGUGGUGCAUGUCAGCGGGAGUCUCCAGCUCAUCAUCUCUCUUUCUGGUGGAAAAUUUGGUGAAUUACCUAAAACUAGCUGGCUGGCGGUCUUCUUGUGUUGACAGGUGUGGGUGC
rnacentral:lncRNA from 1 species